UAUAAUAACCACAUAUUUUCUGAAAUGUUAAAACUCAACAGAAAAAGGGCUGAAAAUGCAAAGUCCAAGGAGCCAGAUGGCUCGAUUGUAAAAUACAGUAAAGCGUAGAGCUAAACUGCAAAGAUUCGUAAGCCUCGGGAUCGAAUCAGAAUUUACUUGGACCCAGUUAACAUUAAGAUAAAGUCCGAGGACUAAAUCGAGAAAUGGCUGAAAGGAUAAGAUGCCCUUUCUUUCUCCUGUGUGGCCAUCCCUGUAACCGUCGCCUCAGCGGCCACGGCCUGGCGUGGCCAGCCACGGCCGGGCGCGGGCGGAGCGCGGCGCACGGGGCGGUCGCGGGGCGCGGCGCGGCGCUGCCGGGCGGCGGCCAGUCGAGGCGGCGCGGCAGGGACGAAACCGCUGGAGCCGGCAACUUGGUUCUGCGGGGACUGAAGCCAAUCGAUGCCACUUGCCAUGGAUGCCUUCGUCCGCCGUCCAGCGUCAAGAGCCGCUGGGGGGCGUUGUUGUGCGUCUCGCGCUGAGGUCGCUACGCCGCCGCAUCGCGAGGAUGCAUGCCAUGGUUGCCAGCGCCGCCACCGGGAGGUCGAGGAUGCGGGCACCGCGCGCUAAGCGCGUGCGGUUGUUUCCAUCGCAGCCGCUCGCCCGUGGGCCGUGGCACGUCUUGCCAUACACCGGCUGGUGCCUCGCUGCAGAGCAGCGGCCACGGGCGCCGCCAUGCUCCUUGAGGGGCGUCUCCAUGUAGGUUGUGAACGGCGCCUCCGGCCGCUGCGGGCUGGAGCGCUGGGCCUCUGCCACCGGUGAUGCAGCCGUGCGGUAGAUCACCGUUGGCACCAUCGGCCGCAACCAGCGUCUCCGCUGCCUUGUGCCGUCAUGCGAGCAGCGAGCGGCUCGAUGGUACUUUCUUUUCUCCUCCUUUACGCACUCAGAUGAGAGCAAUUUGCUUGUGUGCGUAGGCGUACAGCCUUCUUGCCAUUGACGGGAAGUUGCCGAUC